rnacentral:lncRNA from 1 species
CCCGUACCAUCGUAUGCCGUUUCCCCUCCGUCGUCGGUGUCGGAGCCUCCCCCUCCUUGUAAACUAGACAUAGAUGGUCUCUCUCGUUGUCUUUCCCGUUUCCAAGAUUUUAGACGGCAUGCCCGAUCUUAUUUCCCCCCUUGUUGCUGAGGUGCGUACUACGUAAAUUUGUCCGUGCUCGUUGUGUAAGCGACUCGCUCCACACGGGCCGCACGGCACUUAUUCACGAAAAGACAAACAUUGUGGUGUGUUUUGCUCCAGGUCUCCUUAUGUGCUCGUUCCGAAAGGAGCCCUCAUGCUCGCACUAUCCAAAAGUUUAGACGCGUUUGUCUUCUGCUAGUGAUUUGAAAAAGAAUCCAAAGUUAUGGAUGCGAGAGUGAAACGUUAUAUGAAGAAAUUUAACUUACAAUGUAAGGGCAUCUUCAAAGUAGAUCCUUAAAUCGCCUGCAAACAUCCAGAUGACAUUGUUUUGUUCGGAUGCAGUUUGUCAUCCAACGCCGUCCGCAUCGGUCCAUGGACCAGUCCACUUGUCUGUUUUCUCGCAAACCAGAAGCAAAUUGGGGGGAUGGGGGUGGGGAGUUUGUGGGAGUAUGGACAGCCGCCGCGUAGGACUCCGACUCCCCUGGCCCACCCAAAACCCCAUCAGGACCCGCAUCUUCAUCCCUUCAUAUUUCUAUGCAUCCCCUUCCCUCCCAGCCGUCGUUGCCGCUCUACCACCUCGGCCACUCGCCAAGGCCUUCCCGGACCUCCGCGACCUCGGCCACUCCAUCCGCUCGCCAAACCGUUUUCCUACGCAGCCGGUCCACACCUCUCGUCCGACCGUCGUGCAAGUACCAUCCGCCCCUACGGGGGUCACCACGCCCGACAAAUGCUUGGUGAAAUGCCCGUGCUAAUUUUUUUGUCCCUUCUUUGAAGCAAUGGGUUCCUACAUGAAGUACAUGCACGAGCACUACGUUGAGCCAUCCGAUUUGGAGGAUUGUGCAGAUAAAAUGACGAUGAUGCAGGCAAUCCUUACAGACGCGGAGCAUGUGGAAGAGCAUGUUCUAACCAAUUGUCACAGACACCGAAAAGCUCUUGGCAAUGUCCGAAGCAAGAGAGUGGCCAGGUUUGCUCAGAUCUCUUGAUUGCAUGCAUUUGAGAUGGUAGAUGUCAGGACCCCGACUCAAUGCCACAUCGAUCUAGCAUGUAACACCUCAUAUCACUUUGCGGCCUCACGCACGGUAUUCCCACGGGUGUCGCCUUACCUUACCCCGGGACCGUUUGCGCCUUUUGGCACACGUAUAUGACAGUGUCGCUAGCAUCCAUAUGAUAAGGAGCCCGGGCUGACAUGGCUAGUCGUAAACCCAAAGUGGCACAGACUUACAGGGACAAGCAUCCAUGACCCAGCAUCGAACGUGUCGGUCAUCAGCGAGUGAAACCAGGCUGUAGCACUGGGCUAGCAGGACUCCGGUGAACCGGGCUGUAGCGGGCUAACAGGACUCCGGUAUUCAUCGCGUGACAUUUCCCCGAAGGGACAGACACAGGAACGAAGAAGGACACAUGCCGGCCAGCCUAAGUGUUCCGGAGCAGUAGCAAGCUACCAUGGCUCGGUGGAAACACUAGGAGACAUUUCCCCGUAAGAGAGGCUACUAAAGAUAAACAACUAGAUGGUCAGAUCCCACACAUAUCAAGCAUUUCAAUAACAUACACACAAUAUGCUCGAUAUGUGCAACUACAACAUGGCAUCACAACAUGACUCUACGACUCAAGUAAUUUAUUCAAUAGGCUCUGAGGAGCGAGAUAUUACAAACAGGGGUCUCACGACCCAACAUUCAGAGCAUACAAGUCAAAGCACAAACGGAAGCUAUCAUGUCUGAGUACAGACAUCUAUAAAUGAAAAAGGCUGAGAAACCUGACUAUCUAUCAGAUCCUGCCGAGGGCACAAGAUCGUAGCUGAGGUAUCAAGCUAAACGUCGAAGUCCACGCGGAACUACUAGCGAGACCGAAGUCUCUCUGCAAAAACAUAAAAUAGGCAAACGUGAGUACAAAUGUACCCAGCAAGACUUACAUCAGAGCUAACUACAUAUGCAUCAUUAUCAACAAAGGGGAUGGUGGGGUUUAACUGCAGCAAGCCAGCUUUGACUCGGUGGCUAUCCUGAACUACGACUGCAAGUAACUCUUUUGAGGUGGCGCACACGAGUCCACAUAUUCACCAACCAAUACACCACUAUGGAUCCGCUCCCGUCUCCCUACGAGAACGCCAUCCAUAGCACUCACGCUUAUCUUGCGUAUUUUAGAGUAUCCACUUUCACUUGUCUAUGAACUGAUAUAAGCAACCCAGAAGUCCUUUUCCGCGGACACGGCUAUUCGAAUAGAUCAUAUUAACCCUGCAGGGGUGUACUUCUUCACACACGCUCUCACCACUUACCGCCGUUUACAUGACAUGUACUCGGCAACCUUCAAGCGGAAGCCCAACGUGGGUGUCGGCCACGGCCUACCUAAACACUCAAGUCUCUAGUCCAGGUUUAUCGCCUAUUCGGGUUCCAUCCAUGAGGAGAUCCGGCCGGAGUUUCGCUCACAGCCCCAAACGAUGUGUACAGGGUUCCGUGACACCAAACGGGCGCCCGGUUUACCCGGCCACGUGCCUACCGCAUCACAGCCCACCCCUACGGUCAGCGCUGCGCACGGCCUCCAGCAUACUACAAACACCAGAAACUACUUGCAACUCCUGGACAGAGGACAAGGGUGAUUAAGAAGCCGAGAGGGUCCAUUGGUUUCGGGCCCAAUGCGUGGUAGUAGCUGAAUCAUGGAUCACAAACACAGAACUCAGUUCCUGAGGACGGCUGCAAUGAGACAACCCACCAUGUACUCCUACAUGGCCUCUCACCGCUACCUUUACCAAAUCAUGUUCACACACUUAGCUCUCAAUGGUAGGACAUGUUCACACACCUCUGAUCCAUUCCCGAUGAAUCAGACCUGACACAACUCUAAGCAGUAGCAGGCAUGACAACAAGCAUGAAUGAGUAGGCACAACAGGGCUCAAACAACUCCUACUCAUGCUAGUGGGUUUCAUCUAUUUACUGUGGCAAUGACAGGUCAUGCAGAGGAUAAAGGGGUUCAACUACCGCAGCAAGUAACAGAUGAAUCGGGUCCUAAUGCAGUAAAAGAGAGCAGGAGCGAGAGAGUGGGAUUUUAUCGGAAUGAACAAGGGGGUUUUGCUUGCCUGGCACUUCUGAAGAUAACAUUGAGUCUUCAUCAGUGUCAACGAUCACAUCAUCGGUAUCACGUCUAUCGAGAGGGGACAAAUACCGGCAACACAGAAAGGAACACAAUCAAUGCAAUGCACAAUAUGAUGCAUGAUCAUGACAUGGCAAAAUGAAUGUGUUUUGAGCUAAUGCAACUAGCAACAGAUUAAAUGAAGUUGGUUUGAAUACAAGAUUCAAAUUCAAACUCCAUAUGUGAUUAUUCAAAUGUCAUUCACUUCAUUUGUCCUAAACAGUAGUGAUAAGUUGUUCUAACAUGCAUGAAAAUGGUACAGAUGGAUUCCUUGAAUUUUUCUGAUAAUUUUUCAUAUAUAAAUUAUUUAAUUUGGAGUUACGGUUGAAUUUCUAUGAUUUAUUGAAGUUUUAGCUAUUUUCUGGAAUUUUCAGAAUUAAAUUAAAUCCAGAAAACAUUACUGCGUCAGCAUGAUGUUGGCAUGACGUCAGCAAGUCAACAGGGGCCGGCUCGGGUCAAAACUGACCAGUGGGGCCCACUGGUCAGUGACUACGGCUAAUCCUAAUAUAAUUUAAACCUAACCUAGUUUAAUUAGUCGGCCCGGGCCCGCAUGUCAGUGAGUCAGUGGCUUAAUUAAACUUAGUUAUUAAUUUAACCAAAGGUUAGCAGGGGACGGGCCCACACGUCAGUGACCCAGGGGGGUCAAAUCCCUGGUCAACCCGGCUAAUCCACCGGCGUCUAACCGCCGGCAACGACCAGACGCGGCGGUGGCUCGCCGGAAUGGCUGCUCCGGCGCCCAUUCGACGCGCGGAGGGGUUCUACAGGGAGCUCGAGCUCGUGCGCAUCCAAUGGAGCAAGCCAGAGGAGUUGGGGUUGGCUGUGGCGUCGGCAGCGGCGAGGGAGGCGGCGGCCGGAGUUCGGGCGAGGUCGGGGUUGGCGUUAGGGGGCACGGGAGGGGAAGCUAGUGUGUGUGUUAGGUUCCUGGUGAGGUGUGGAGCACGUUGCCGUGCUCGGUAGCUAGCUCCGGUGGCUCUGGCCUUGUCCGCAUCAUCGCCGGCGGCGAGGAGCUCACGACCCCGGUGGAAAGGGCGGCUAGCGUGCGGGAACGAGCGCGGGGAGGAGGGGAAAUGGAAGAGGAGCUCACAUAGACCCUGUAGAGGUGGACGGCGAGCUUGAGGGAGGACGGACGGCGACGAAUUUGACGACGGCGAUCCUCGGUGGCCGAGGAGGGGAAAAAGCGUCGGGGUGGUGCUUCGGGGCUCUUCCGGUCACGUGGCUCGGUGAGGGGGUUGGCGACGAGGUGCAGGAGCUCGGGAGCACGUCGGGGAGGAGAGGGGGUGGCGGUGGCCGCGAGGGAGCUCGUCGGUGGCGGCGGCUCCGUUCGGUCCGGGCGAGAGAGGGGGAGCAGAGGAGAGAGGGGAUGCAGCGGGGGAGGAAGAGGAGCGAGGGGACACGAGGCCUCGUCGUGGCGUCGCUAGGGAGGCCGGGGGGAAGCAGGAGGUGGCCGGGAAGCAGGAGGUGGCCGGGGCGCGUGGCCGCGCGCGCCGGGCGCGUGCCCGUCCUCCUGGCAGGGAGGAAGACGACAGGGGAGGGAGUGGAGAUGGGCUGGGCCGGCUGGGCCGCGCUGGAGGAGCUGGGCCAGGUAAGUGGUCCAGGUACGGGUCUUUCUCUCUCUCUCUUUUUCUAAUUAUCUCAGUUUUCUAUUAUUCUGUAAAUUUAGGGCUUUAUUAAAAAUACUCAGACACUUUCAAAAAUCAUGAAACUAAUCAUGGCUACUGUUUAGAAUAUAUCCAACAGUAAACAUUUUAGUUUAUGAUUAUUUGAGCAUUUGAAAUAUUUAAUAGCAUUUAAAUGCCCAAAUGAAAAUACUAUAUGAUUUAAUUCAGUGACCAAAUAUGUCCUGCAAAAAUAUAAACCAUUUUUGGUAGAUGCUUCCACCUCAAACCAGAAAUGUUGAACAUUUUUAGAGGACAUUUUGAGUUCAAUGAAAAAGGUUUUAUUUUGACCCUAGUUGAAUUCAUUUGGUGCUAGGGCUUAGUCAAUCCCCAUCUCAGGUUUAAAUGAAAUUUAAACAUGAUGUAACACUCUAAUGCAUGCACUAGGCAUUGUCAGAACUAGGGAUGUGACAACUCACCCCCACUAAACAAGAAUCUCGUCUCGAGAUUCAAGCGUAGGGUAAGGUGAAAGGUAAACGCAACUAGUAUAAUCUUCACGAUCCAGGGUGCACUUCAGUUGAACGUUGAUUCAGUCACCAUCAUUGUCUUGAAGUCUUGCUCUGAGAAAUCCUGUCAACAUGACAUGGAGGGAAGAAGGAGACUCUAGAAGGACUGAUCUUUCGAAGAUCGAACCACUCAGGAUUAACUCCCGGAAUGACAUAGCAACAUCUCUCGAGCUGAGAGACGAAGCAUACCUCUGGAGGGAUGGAGUGGAGCAGGUGACGAGGUUCACUAGGUAGACAACAAUUCCAGACUUAAGAAUGUGGCGAUCGGUUGUCAACGUAGCGAGGAGUUGAAUUGCCAUGAUACCACGACGAAACAUCCUGGAGAAGGGUGAUUCGUAGAUUAUUAUCUUAAGUGGCAAAAAGAAUUACCUUUGAUAUAGAGAUCAUUGAGACUCUUUAUAUCAGUCUAAGGCAAAUCACAGCAAUCGAUUGGCGGGGGUCGGUAGAAUGGCAUACUCGGACUUGGAUGAUGUGGAUUACCUUGUUGAAGACAACGUAAUGGAUGAAUUUCCUUAUCACCGGAGAUGGAAGAGACCCGUGGUAGAAUGGCACAUUGACGGUGCAAGCUGGGAACAAAAUGCAAAUGCUGGGAAUGAUUCUGGUAACUGGGGAAGAACCCAACACUAAAGAGAGUGAAUUCACUGUUUGAAAAGGUCAUAGCAUUUGCCGAGGAAACUGAGAGGAAUCCCAGUUAGAGAUGAUGAUAAUACGUAGCGCUUGAGCAUGCUCUCAAGAACUUGAGCAUUUCCACAAUCAUCAGGGUUUUAUCAACAUCCGUGUCAAGGGUCCGGUAACACAACUUACUACCAUGAUGAAUGGUGAUGGAGGAUGCAGAUGCAAAGGAAGAUAACACUUCUCAGAUUUCAUCCUAGCGAGGCCAAGGAAAUAAAAUCUGGAUGAUCGACCGAGAGACAUUUAGCACUCCGCUUCUAAUGUUCUCCUUGACGUGCUAGUGUAACCCAUUCAUAGAUAUGGUUUGAUAACUAGAACAUCAAGUAAAGAUCGAACUUCGGGAGCAAUAGAAUCCAUAAGGAACAGUUACGGAGGUAAAUCCUACGAAAUCCUUAUGGGGAGGUGGCCAACUUCUUCAAUCAAGAUACUACAAUAAUAGGUCUUUCGGCUGGGUGGUGCUGGCCACGACAUCCACUUUACCGGUUAUCGCGCGACCAAUAUUAUAAUUCUUGGGAAAUAUGCCAACCAUCAUAUCUGCCUGAGAUUCAGAUCUGGUUGGUGUCAGGAUAUUCCAGACUCAUCGAGUCUAGGAAGAAAAACGGAAUUUUGCAACACAAAUCGACGAGAUGACGUUGCGAGAUUCUCGGGGAAUGAACUACGAUAGCAAGCUCCAAAACAUGAGCUGGUUCUGCUACAAACAUGUGAACACGUUGUCCCAGACAAGCAUGACCACAAAGUAGUCUUAUAAUAAAACACUACCGAGUUCUGGUUGGGAACCAUCAUCGUGGAUAACGAAGUCCUUGCAUAAGUCAUAUGAUUAGCUCUUAUGAAGGAACUUCUUCUCCUUGAACAAAUCAAUCAGUGGCUUGGUGUGCUCGGGACACAUAUGGAAUGAAGGUUGCAAGUCUCCAGACCACAGAAUACUUCGCACGUGUGCAUGACUGAUUUGGGAUGAUUCCAAGGAAACAAAACUAGCUUUCUCAAAUUCACGGCGGCAACUUUCACCAAAUGCACGUGUAUAAGAGGAAGUCACUCCUUUCAUCAAACAAAUACUUCAUGAGCUAGCAUGAAGAAAAUGCUUUCAAAAGUUUCCAACACUAGCUUAAUGUCCAACAAAAUCAUGGAGGAGAUAAGGAUGUUGUCAAUGGACACAACAACAAUUCAUCUGGGUUUCCUUUUAAAAGGAAUUCCAUAGUUAAGUGAACAAGUGAUAGCAUUGGUCAGACCCAAAAGAUAUAAUGGUGUAUGCUCGAGGGAUCAACCACGAGUAAGACAACAUUACAAAUAUCGUUGGUUCUGGUCUGAUUGGAUGAUAGCCCAUACUCAAUCAAAGGUUUGGGUAAGAUAAUAGAUCCAACAAUUGUUCACAGGGACCAAUCGAUGAAGAUAUCAUCUUUCUUCAACACACACUACACAAGAUUAUCCCUUUGGAACGAACUAAGUCAGGCAAGCUUUUAUCCUCCAACUCUCCAAGUUGUUGUUUAGCUUAUCCAACUAGCUCAGGGUAUCCAACACGGAUUCUUGGAGAAGGGGUGGUUUACAGGAAUAAACCAACUUGAUCACGAACUCAACAUAGCGGUCGGGUGACAACCUGGUAAUACUUCUGAGAAGAUAUUCAGAAAAUCACGAACCACCGGUAUGUUACUAAGCUCGAGAACAAUCUUGCUUUUCAGGGCAAGACGAUAUGAUCAAUAGAGCAAGGAUUUGAAAUAAUCCUAACUCAUCGAUCGAGGAGUGAACCAGGAGAAUGGACUAGGUAGCACGAUCAAUCUUAGAAUGAUGAUUCAAUAACCAACACACUAAGAAUGAAAUUAUUGUCCAUUAACUACCCAGCAACGAGGUUGCUAGGCGUGUUGAUUUCACACAUCACAAUUCAUUUGUCGGUAUUCCGGUUGCAUCAACACGAAGACCGAGGAAUGAUUAAUGAUGGCAAGAAGUAUCACUGUACCAAGAGUUCAUAGGAUGGUGUGCAAUUCCUAUAACAAUCCCGAUAUAAGAUGGUAAUACUCCAAGGUAGAACAGAAUAAAAGCUGGGUUAGCAAUUUGUUCUGCGGAGCAUAACUUCUUUGACCCAAUCCUGGAUAUGGAAGAGGUACUGGAGUUUGUUUCUCCUAGUCAUUCAGGACAGAAUGGCUUGACGGACCACAAGAGUAAUAGGCAUCGAUAAACGAACGCACGCAUACUCUUGACUAUCAAUUGAUAGACGAGGGUCAGAAUGCAACUAAAGAGAACAACUCAAAGGAACAUAUAAUUUUCUGAGUUGUGGAUGCAUAGAUUAGUAUGUCGAACCAAGUUCAACAUAUUUCUUCCGGAUAACCCAUGCAGAGAGGUAGAACUGGCAGAGUCACGAUUUAUGAAUGGAGAACUCCUCAAGAGUACUCUAAUUGUGAUCUUUUGAUCCAAUAAACAUCUGCCAUAAGCGGUUCAUAGUAUUUGGAAGAAGGAAAUACCACGGACCUCGAGGACUAUCGCAAAGUUACUAAUAUCCUGAAGGAACUAGCAAACACUAUCAACAUGAAGUAAGUAGAGUGAAUCUCGGGUUCAAAGCCCAAGGAGUAGAAUACCUACUACUAAGUGGCAUCACGGGAUGCUUUCGAGAAUAAAAGCCAGAAUCAUCACACUGGGACACAAAUCAUGGCUAAAUUACUAGAUGAUCCCCUAGGACACCUAGGGUCAUAAUAAUAUCUCCAACAUAUAUGUCAAGGUAACGGAGUACCUCAACUUACUGAUUAGUGUGGUUAAUCUGGCCCAUGGGAACAUUGAAACGGGAAGAAAAGAUUUGCAAAUGCAUCAGACUACUUAGAAACCUGGGAUGACUCGGACAGCAUAACGGCUGUAAAUGCCCAGAAAAGAUUUGAGACAUUCACAAAAUGGUGGCAUAACCACUCAGAAGCACAAUAUCAAGGUUCCGAGAUCAACAAUUAACAUACAGAAGUAAUAGGAACUGAAACGAGGCUUAAGUCCAACAAUUCUAUAAGUCUACGAAUUAAUAACACGUGAUCCUGAUAGAAAGAAGAGAAAGCCUAGUUCCUUAACCCCGUAGAAAAGAUAAGAUGACUCAGAUCAGAAGGGCAUAAGGUAUAAGGAAUAAAAAGAGCCUUACGUUCCAUCCCACAAUCAAUUCCCUUAUAUAACUAAAGAAUUUCUAGACUCGACUUCGACCAGUUUGGCUUGGUAAUCCUACAGGCAGUCAAGCUCUGAUACCAACGCUGUCAGGACCCCGACUCAAUGCCACAUCGAUCUAGCAUGUAACACCUCAUAUCACUUUGCGGCCUCACGCACGGUAUUCCCACGGGUGUCGCCUUACCUUACCCCGGGACCGUUUGCGCCUUUUGGCACACGUAUAUGAUAGUGUCGCUAGCAUCCAUAUGAUAAGGAGCCCGGGCUGACAUGGCUAGUCGUAAACCCAAAGUGGCACAGACUUACAGGGACAGGCAUCCAUGACCCAGCAUCGAACGUGUCGGUCAUCAGCGAGUGAAACCAGGCUGUAGCACUGGGCUAGCAGGACUCCGGUGAACCGGGCUGUAGCGGGCUAACAGGACUCCGGUAUUCAUCGCGUGACAUUUCCCCGAAGGGACAGACACAGGAACGAAGAAGGACACAUGCCAGCCAGCCUAAGUGUUCCGGAGCAGUAGCAAGCUACCAUGGCUCGGUGGAAACACUAGGAGACAUUUCCCCAUAAGAGAGGCUACUAAAGAUAAACAACUAGAUGGUCAGAUCCCACACAUACCAAGCAUUUCAAUAACAUACACACAAUAUGCUCGAUAUGUGCAACUACAACAUGGCAUCACAACAUGACUCUACGACUCAAGUAAUUUAUUCAAUAGGCUCCGAGGAGCGAGAUAUUACAAAUAGGGGUCUCACGACCCAACAUUCAGAGCAUACAAGUCAAAGCACAAACGGAAGCUAUCAUGUCUGAGUACAGACAUCUAUAAAUGAAAAAGGCUGAGAAGCCUGACUAUCUAUCAGAUCCUGCCGAGGGCACAAGAUCGUAGCUGAGGUAUCAAGCUAAACGUCGAAGUCCAUGCGGAACUACUAGCGAGACCGAAGUCUCUCUGCAAAAACAUAAAAUAGGCAAACGUGAGUACAAAUGUACCCAGCAAGACUUACAUCAGAGCUAACUACAUAUGCAUCAUUAUCAACAAAGGGGAUGGUGGGGUUUAACUGCAGCAAGCCAGCUUUGACUCGGUGGCUAUCCUGAACUACGACUGCAAGUAACUCUUUUGAGGUGGCGCACACGAGUCCACAUAUUCACCAACCAAUACACCACUAUGGAUCCGCUCCCGUCUCCCUACGAGAACGCCAUCCAUAGCACUCACGCUUAUCUUGCGUAUUUUAGAGUAUCCACUUUCACUUGUCUAUGAACUGAUAUAAGCAACCCAGAAGUCCUUUUCCGCGGACACGGCUAUUCGAAUAGAUGAUGUUAACCCUGCAGGGGUGUACUUCUUCAUACAUGUUUCCACCACUUAGCGUCUGCACACGACAUGUGCUCGGCAGAGUUCAAGCGAAAGCCGACGUGGGUGUAGACCACGACCUACCUAAACACUCAAGUCUCUAGUCCAGGUUUAUCGCCUAUUCGGGUUCCAUCCAUGAGGAGAUCCGGCCGGAGUUUCGCUCACAGCCCCAAACGAUGUGAACAGGGUUCCCGAGAUACCUAACGGGUAUUCGGUACACCGUGCCACGUACCUACCGCAUCACAGCCCACCCCUACGGUCAGCGCUGUCCACGGCCUCCAGUAGGCUACAAACACCAGAAACUACUUGCAACUCCUGGACAGAGAGCUAGGGUGAAUAAGAAGUCGAGCGGGGUCAUAUUUCAGGGCCCAAUGUAUGGUAGUAGCUGAAUCAUGGAUCACAAACACAGAACUCAGUUUCUGAGGACGGCUUCAAUGAGACAACCCACCAUGUACUCCUACAUGGCCUCUCACCGACACCUUUUACCAAAUCGUGUUCACACACUUGGCUCACACACAGUAGGACAUGUUCACACACCUCUGAUUCAUCCCCGAUGAAUCAGACCUGACUCAACUCUAAGCAGUAGCAGGCAUGACAAACAAACAUGAAUGAGUAGGCACAACAGGGCUCAAACAACUCCUACUCAUGCUAGUGGGUUUCAUCUAAUUACUGUGGAAUGACAGGUCAUGCAGAGGAUAAAGGGGUUCAGCUACCGCAGCAUGUAACAGUUGAAUCGGUGUUGUCCUAAUGCAGUAAAAGAGAGCAGGAGCGAGAGAGUGGGAUUGUAUCGGAAUGAACAAGGGGGUUUUGCUUGCCUGGCACUUCUGAAGAUAACAUUGAGUCUUCAUCAGUGUCAACGGUCACAUCAUCGGUAUCACGUCUAUCGAGAGGGGACAAAUACCGGCAACACAGAAGGGAACACAAUCAAUGCAAUGCACAAUAUGAUGCAUGAUCAUGACAUGGCAAAAUGAAUGUGUUUUGGGCUAAUGCAACUAGCAACAGAUUAAAUGAAGUUGGUUUGAAUACAAGAUUCAAAUUCAAACUCCAUAUGUGAUUAUUCAAAUGUCAUUCACUUCAUUUGUCCUAAACAGUAGUGAUAAGUUGUUCUAACAUGCAUGAAAAUGGUACAGAUGGAUUCCUUGAAUUUUUCUGAUAAUUUUUCAUAUAUAAAUUAUUUAAUUUGGAGUUACGGUUGAAUUUCUAUGAUUUAUUGAAGUUUUAGCUAUUUUCUGGAAUUUUCAGAAUUAAAUUAAAUCCAGAAAACAUUACUGCGUCAGCAUGAUGUUGGCAUGACGUCAGCAAGUCAACAGGGGCCGGCUCGGGUCAAAACUGACCAGUGGGGCCCACUGGUCAGUGACUACGGCUAAUCCUAAUAUAAUUUAAACCUAACCUAGUUUAAUUAGUCGGCCCGGGCCCGCAUGUCAGUGAGUCAGUGGCUUAAUUAAACUUAGUUAUUAAUUUAACCAAAGGUUAGCAGGGGACGGGCCCACACGUCAGUGACCCAGGGGGGUCAAAUCCCUGGUCAACCCGGCUAAUCCACCGGUGUCUAACUGCCGGCAACGACCAGACGCGGCGGUGGCUCGCCGGAAUGGCUGCUCCGGCGCCCAUUCGACGCGCGGAGGGGUUCUACAGGGAGCUCGAGCUCGUGCGCAUCCAAUGGAGCAAGCCAGAGGAGUUGGGGUUGGCUGUGGCGUCAGCAGCGGCGAGGGAGGCGGCGGCCGGAGUUCGGGCGAGGUCGGGGUUGGCGUUAGGGGGCACGGGAGGGGAAGCUAGUGUGUGUUAGGUUCCUGGUGAGGUGUGGAGCACGUUGCCGUGCUCGGUAGCUAGCUCCGGUGGCUCUGGCCUUGUCCGCAUCAUCGCCGGCGGCGAGGAGCUCACGGCCCCGGUGGAAAGGGCGGCUAGCGUGCGGGAACGAGCGCGGGGAGGAGGGGAAAUGGAAGAGGAGCUCACAUAGACCCUGUAGAGGUGGACGGCGAGCUUGAGGGAGGCCGGACGGCGACGAAUUUGACGACGGCGAUCCUCGGUGGCCGAGGAGGGGAAAAAGCGUCGGGGUGGUGCUUCGGGGCUCUUCCGGUCACGUGGCUCGGUGAGGGGGUUGGCGACGAGGUGCAGGAGCUCGGGAGCACGUCGGGGAGGAGAGGGGGUGGCGGUGGCCGCGAGGGAGCUCGUCGGUGGCGGCGGCUCCGUUCGGUCCGGGCGAGAGAGGGGGAGCAGAGGAGAGAGGGGAUGCAGCGGGGGAGGAAGAGGAGCGAGGGGACACGAGGCCUCGUCGUGGCGUCGCUAGGAAGGCCGGGAGGAAGCAGGAGGUGGCCGGGAAGCAGGAGGUGGCCGGGGCGCGUGGCCGCGCGCGCCGGGCACGUGCCCGUCCUCCUGGCAGGGAGGAAGACGACAGGGGAGGGAGUGGAGAUGGGCUGGGCCGGCUGGGCCGCGCUGGAGGAGCUGGGCCAGGUAAGUGGCCCAGGUACGGGUCUUUCUCUCUCUCUCUUUUUCUAAUUAUCUCAGUUUUCUAUUAUUCUGUAAAUUUAGGGCUUUAUUAAAAAUACUCAGACACUUUCAAAAAUCAUGAAACUAAUCAUGGCUACUGUUUAGAAUAUAUCCAACAGUAAACAUUUUAGUUUAUGAUUAUUUGAGCAUUUGAAAUAUUUAAUAGCAUUUAAAUGCCCAAAUGAAAAUACUAUAUGAUUUAAUUCAGUGACCAAAUAUGUCCUGCAAAAAUAUAAACCAUUUUGGUAGAUGCUUCCACCUCAAACCAGAAAUGUUGAACAUUUUUAGAGGACAUUUUGAGUUCAAUGAAAAAGGUUUUAUUUUGACCCUAGUUGAAUUCAUUUGGUGCUAGGGCUUAGUCAAUCCCCAUCUCAGGUUUAAAUGAAAUUUAAACAUGAUGUAACACUCUAAUGCAUGCACUAGGCAUUGUCAGAACUAGGGAUGUGACAAUAGAACUACCCAAAAGCUCUACAAGGGCGAUAUCAGAGCCAUGUUAAGAAGCCCAUUAUCAUUCUUAAAGGAUUUGCAUCACAUAACCUCUGAAUCUAGCAUGCCUUUUUUGGCAUGUCCAAAUCUUACAGUGAUAUUAAUGUGCUGCAUCGGUCUCCAUUGUUUGUUAGGUUGACUAAAGGGCAAGCUUCUCCUUGCACCUAUAUUGUCAAUGGGCAUUAGUACAACAUGGGCUACCAUCUGAUUGAGGGUAUCUAUCCUUUGUGGGCUACCUUUGUCAAGACCAUAUUCGAUCCAGUUGGUCAGAAAAGAGCUAUCUUUGCCCAAAGACAAGGAGCUAGAAAAGAUGUGGUGGGGCAUUUGGACUGCUCCAAACCCAUUUUGCAGUUGUUUGUGGACCUCCUAAACAAUUAGAUCCAAAUACCCUAUGGGAGGUGAUGACAUUUUGCAUGAUUAUGCACAACAUGAUUGUGGAGGAUGAGAGUGAAGAUGUUGUCGGAGGUCUGGAAUUUGGAAGCAUGGGUGAUCCUAUCCAACUUCCAGAUCAGAAUCCCGCCAUGUUUGAUGAGUAUGUUUAAAUGCAUCAACAAAUUUGGGACUGGGGAACUCAUGAGUAACUUAAGAAGGAUUGAUUGAGCAUCUGCGGGCGGUUAAAGGGGGCAACUAGGACAUAUGUCUGAGUUAAAUUCAAGUUUGAACUAUUUUAUUUGAAAACUUAGUUAGAGUUUAAUAUUUAAAUUAGAAUUACGGUUGCAUUUGAAUAUUUCCACUGAUCAAAAAUUCGAUAUGCUAUUAUUCUUGAGCUCACGGACUUGAAAGAAAACAGAGGGCGUUUAGGGGACAAUGUUGGAUGGUCUCUCGUAUCACUGUCCAUGGACCGGUCCACAAACAAAUAUAGUGUCCAUUUUAAAGGCUGGCGUUAGAGAUGCCCUAAGUCGCCAGAAUGCUUUCAACAAGGAUAGGAAUAUUAUGGAUGAGAUCAUGUUUUUACAUGAGAUUUUGCAUAAAGUCUAAAAGGUUGAAACAACAAGGGGUUGUGCUAAAUGGGUGAAGGUGAGGCUAUAACUGAAAUCCGGGUUCUACUAUUAUCAGUGCUAAUGAUGGCAACUCCCGCGAGCAUCCAGGUCUUACUGCAUCAGACGAUGGCGACAUUUUGUGUGGUGUUUCCUCUUAUGGGCAUUGUCUUGGAGCUGGAAGCACCCUGAGGUCUUAUUGUAUAAGGCAAAGAUGGUGGUUGCUCUUUGGUUCUUUUCCAACAUAUGUCAUUCAUCCUUUGUUGGUUGGAUAUUUGGACAUGUCAUCGGAAGAGCCGAAGAUUUUCAUCGGAAGCGGGGUUAGCGAGUCCUCGACCACUUUGGAUCAACUCGUUCCCAAACGACACCCCUUCCCUCUUUUACGAUGGGUGUUGUUGGAUGGCAAUCAGACAACCUUUGCUAAAGGUGUUUGUCUUGAUCUGGUUAGAGGAUGACAAAGUUGAAGUCCUUCUCUUUGUGGGCUGAUGAGACAUAUGGACGUCGACCGCCUUUUCUUCAUGUUUCUGUAACGUGCUCCUUUCGUCUUGCCUGCCUCCCUUCUCUUUUUUCUAUAUCUUUAGCCUUUUUUCUCUUCAUUUUGAUGUCACUGCACUCACGGCUAUCGUCCAUUCUUUCACUUCUUUUAAUGAAAUGAAAACAUACGCCUUUUUACAGAAAUUGUAAAGUUAAUGAGACUAAAGAAAAUAUGAAUACCAGAUAGUAGAAACAAAGCCGAGACUAAAGAAAAAAUGAAUACCAAAUAGUAGAAACAAAGCAGACUCGGUUUUUAAGGAGCACCUUGCACCAUCAUGUUCACCAACUGGUCUGGUUAUGAUAUCGGGAGGUUCGGUGAUGACAGCUGUUGUGGAGGCUAAGAUUGCUAAAAUCGCCUCGGUUCAAACUUUAUGGAAGUGGGAGGCCGUUCCUCAUGGUGAUGAUGCCUUCUUGGUUGCCUUUCCAUCUAUGGAGGUUUUGCGUCGAGUGCCUGCUUUCGAGUUCAAAGUCAAGUCUCACAAUGUCAUGAUUGCUAUUAGUGAAUGGAAAUCAUAAAAUGAUGUCAAGCCUGCAUAUAAUCCGCUGAAGCCAGUUUGGGUACAUGUCACUGGAGUUCCACCGCCACUUCGCCACUUUCUUGGCUUGUGGGCAGUGGGAUCCGUCAUCGGUGGAACACAAGAUGUUGACUUGAUUUGCUUACGACGUCGUGGCAUCAUGCGUAUUCAGGUGGCUGUCCUGAAUCUAAAUAUAUUCAAGAAAGAGGAUAAUGCAGGGAGUGCCUCAGUGUCGGCUGGGGUAUAUAUCAAAUUAAAUGGUUAUGACUUCCGGUUUGUUCUCGAGGACGAUGAUUUCAAGCCUGAUGAUGAUUUUAUCCCUCGUAUUUGGGAACACCAUGAUGAUGGACCCGACCAUGGGGCUAACCGCGAGGAUGACUUGCCUGAUCGUGAUGCGAAUAAAAAGGCAAAAAAUUCUGGAGUCUCAGGUGCAGCUUCGUCUGAAUCUCAGUCUGAUGGGAGUGGGACCGUCCCAAUGAACACAGAUGUUCGUUUUUCGGAUGCACAGAGAGUUUGCUGGCACAAACCCAUGAGCACCAUGGAAGAGUCACGUACAAGUACCAUUCUAUCCAUUGAUGCGAUGCAUGCAGAUAAAUUGGACGCAAGCAUUGCUGACCAUGGCAAUGCACACGCAGGCCUGGACCUUCCCAGCCAAAUCACUGCCAUGCAUCAGAUUAAUGGGGAGUUUGGUCCACCAGCUGCUGGCCUAGCGGAGACCGUCGACUCAUCUAUAUGUCCAGCUGAUAUGCAUGAGGCUACAGAUCUCCGCCAGUGAAUGGACGUGCCGGUUCAGCAGCCGGCUGUUGCUGUGGUCUGCCCACCCACACAGGCUGGUCUGCAGUCUUCCAAGCCGUCUCACGAUGCUACACAGAUGGAGCCAUGUGUUCGUCUCUCUGCACCAACUUCGUCUUCAACACCUACCAUGUUCGCUACUACUUCAUCAUUGUCGACGGAUCGCGCGACGACACCGGUGGCUCUUAUGUCUAAGGGAAGCUCCCCCCUUCGGUGUAGUAACCGUCACUCCGUCUCUGUUGAUGGUUCUUCUCUGACCGAUGAACAUGCUAUGGACAAGGCAAUGCGACAUCAGGCUGCACAUAAUUUGGACAUCGUUCCAGGUAAUUUAUCCGCAAAAUCUUUUCUUUCUUUUCAGAUUCACGUAUUUCUUCUAGCUUAAAGAAUGUUGGAUGCUCUAUUGGAAAGAAUGAUAAUGAAAUUAAUUUAUCGGUUGGGGUGCUUAAACAUAUGGAGAUUGACCGAUUAAAGGUUUCUCCGAAGUGUAAUGCCUCCAUACCUAACCUUGAAACCGAGGAGGAGGAUGAAGCAGAUGCCAAAUAUGAUGGUCCGCUUAUAUCCCACUUGGUUGGUGAGGUUACCGAGGUUGGAUUGGAUGACGUAAGACCUGGGUCCAUGUUUUGUGACUUCACAGUGUCCUCGCGGAAAUCUAAAUCACACUCCUCUAAAAAGAAACAAAAACCGCCCAAGAUGUUGGAAAUAUGCCCUAGAGGCAAUAAUAAAAUGGUUAUUAUUAUAUUUCUUUGUUCAUGAUAAUCGUCUAUUGUUCAUGCUAUAAUUGUGUUAUCCGAAAAUCGUAAUACAUGUGUGCAUACAUAGACCACAACACAUCCCUAGUGAGCCUCUAGUUGACUAGCUCGUUGAUCAAAGGAUAGUCAUGGUUUUCUGACUAUGGACAUUGGAUGUCAUUGAUAACGGGAUCACAUCAUUAGGAGAAUGAUGUGAUGGACAAGACCCAAUCCUAAACUUAGCUCAAAGAUCGUGUAGUUCGUUUGCUGUAACUUUUCUGAAUGUCAAGUAUCAUUUUCUUAGACCAUGAGAUUGUGCAACUCCCGGAUACCGUAGGAGUGCCUUGGGUGUGCCUAACGUCACAACGUAACUGGGUGACUAUAAAGGUACAUUAUAGGUAUCUCCGAAAGUGUCUGUUGGGUUGGCACGAAUCGAGACUGAGAUUUGUCACUCCGUAUGACGGAGAGGUACCUCUAGGCCCACUCGGUAAUGCAUCAUCAUAAUGAGCUCAAUGUGACCAAGUGGUUGAUCACGGGAUCAUGCAUUACGGCACAAGUAAAGUGACUUGCCGGUAACGAGAUUGAACUAGGUAUUGGGAUACCGACGAUCGAGUCUCGGGCAAGUAACGUACCGAUUGACAAAGGGAAUUGUAUACGAAUUGAUUGAAUCCUCGACAUCGUGGUUCAUCCGAUGAGAUCAUCGUGGAGCAUGUGGGAGCCAACAUGGGUAUCCAGAUCCCGCUGCUGGUUAUUGACCGGAGAGACGUCUCGGUCAUGUCUGCAUGUCUCCCGAACCCAUAGGGUCUACACACUUAAGGUUCGGUGACGCUAGGGUUGUAGAGAUAUUAGUAUGCAGUAACCCGAAAGUUGUUCGGGGUCCCGGAUGAGAUCUCGGACAUCACGAGGAGUUCCGGAAUGGUCCGGAGGUAAAGAUUUAUAUAUGGGAAGUCCAGUUUUGGCCAUCGGGAAGGUUUCGAGGGUUACCUGUAUUGUACCGGGACCACCGGAAGGGUCCCGGGGGUCCACCGGGUGGGGCCACCUGUCUCGGAGGGCCCCAUGGGCUGAAUUAGGUGGGGAACCAGCCCCUAGUGGGCUGGCGCGCCCCCCCUUGGGCCUGCCCUACGCCUAGGGUUGGGAAACCCUAGGGGUGGGGGCGCCCCCCACUUGGCUUGGGGGGGGGGGGAAGCCACCCUUGGCCGCCGCCCCCUUGGAGAUCCAUCUCCCUAGGACCGGCGCCCCCCAAGGCCCCUGUAUGAAGGGGGGGAGGAAGGGCAGCCGCACCCCUUGCUUUUGGCGCCUCCCUCUCCCUCUGUAACACCUCUCCUUCCCGCUUGCGCUUGGCGAAGCCCUGCCGGGAUCCUGCUGCAUCCACCACCACGCCGUCGUGCUGCUGGAUCUUCAUCAACCUCUCCUUCCCCCUUACUGGAUCAAGAAGGAGGAGACGUCUUCCUAACUGUACGUGUGUUGAACGCGGAGGUGCCGUCCGUUCGGCACUAGGUCAUUGGUGAUUUGAAUCACGUCGAGUACGACUCCAUCAACCCCGUUCUCUUGAACGCUUCCGCACGCAAUCUACAAGGGUAUGUAGAUGCACUCCUCUCUCCCUCGUUGCUAGAUGACUCCAUAGAUUGAUCUUGGUGAUGCGUAGAAAAUUUUAAAAUUCUGCUACGUUCCCCAACAGUGGCAUCAUGAGCUAGGUCUAUGCGUAGUUACUAUGCACGAGUAGAACACAAAGCAGUUAUGGGCAUCGAUAUUGUCAAUUUGCUUGUCAUUACUAGUCUUAUCUUGAUUCGGCGGCAUCGUGGGAUGAAGCGGCCCGGACCAACCUUACACGUACGCUUACGUGAGACUGGUUCCACCGACUGACAUGCACUAGUUGCAUAAGGUGGCUGGCGGGUGUCUGUCUCUCCCACUUUAGUCGGAUCGGAUUCGAUGAACAGGGUCCUUAUGAAGGGUAAAUAUAAAUUGGCAAUUCACGUUGUGGUUUUGGCGUAGGUAAGAAACGUUCUUGCUAGAAACCUAUAGCAGCCACGUAAAAACUUGCAACAACAAUUAGAGGACGUCUAACUUGUUUUUGCAGCAAGUGUUUUGUGAUGUGAUAUGGCCAAAGGAUGUGAUGAAUGAUAUAUGUGAUGUAUGAGAUGAUCAUGUUCUUGUAAUAGGAAUCACGACUUGCAUGUCGAUGAGUAUGACAACCGGCAGGAGCCAUAGGAGUUGUCUUUAUUUAUUUAUGACCUACGUGUCAACAUAAACGUCAUGUAAUUACUUUACUUUAUUGCUAAAGCGUUAGCCAUAGUAGUAGAAGUAAUAGAUGAUGAGACAACUUCAAGAAGACACGAUGAUGGAGAUCAUGAUGAUGGAGAUCAUGGUGUCAUGCCGGUGACAACAAUGAUCAUGGAGCCCCGAAGAUGGAGAUCAAAAGGAGCAAAUGAUAUUGGCCAUAUCAUGUCACUAUUUGAUUGCAUGUGAUGUUUAUCAUGUUUUACAUCUUAUUUGCUUAGAACGACGGUAGCUUAAAUAAGAUGAUCCCUCGCAAUAAUUUCAAGAAAGUGUUACCCCUAACUGUGCACCAUUGCGAAGGUUCGUUGUUUCGAAGCACCACGUGAUGAUCGGGUGUGAUAGAUUCUAACGUUUGAAUACAACGGGUGUAAGCCAGAUUUACACACGCAAUAUACUUAGGUUGACUUGACGAGCCUAGCAUGUACAGACAUGGCCUCGGAACACGGAAGACCGAAAGGUCGAGCAUGAGUCGUAUAGAAGAUACGAUCAACAUGAAGAUGUUCACCGAUGUUGGCUAGUCCGUCUCACGUGAUGAUCGGACACGGCCUAGUUAACUCGGAUCAUGUUUCACUUAUAUGACUGGAGGGAUGUCUAUUUGAGUGGGAGUUCAAUGAGUAAUUUGGUUAGAUGAACUUAAUUAUCAUGAACUUAGUCUAAAAUCUUUACAAUAUGUCUUGUAGAUCAAAUGGCCCAUGUUGUCCUCAACUUCAACGCGUUCCUAGAGAAAACCAAGCUGAAAGACGAUGACAGCAACUAUACGGACUGGGUCCGGAACCUGAGGAUCAUCCUCAUAGCUGCCAAGAAAAGAUUAUGUCCUAGAAGCACCGCUAGGUGACGCACCUGUCCCAGAGAACCAAGACGUUAUGAACGCUUGGCAGUCAUGUGCCGAUGAUUACUCCCUCGUUCAGUGCGGCAUGCUUUACAGCUUAGAACCGGGGCUCCAAAAGCGUUUUGAGAGACACGGAGCAUAUGAUAUGUUCGAAGAGCUGAAAAUGGUUUUUCAAGCUCAUGCUCGGGUCAAGAGAUAUGAAGUCUCCGACAAGUUCUUCAGCUGUAAGAUGGAGGAAAAUAGUUCUGUCAGUGAGCACAUACUCAAAAUGUCUGGGUUGCAUAACCGCUUGACUCAGCUGGGAGUUAAUCUCCCGGAUGACGUGGUCAUUGACAGAAUCCUUCAGUCGCUUCCACCAAGCUACAAGAGCUUUGUGAUGAACUUCAAUAUGCAUGGGAUGGAAAAGACCAUUCCUGAGGUAUAUUCAAUGCUGAAAUCAGCAGAGGUGGAAAUCAAAAAGGAACAUCAAGUGUUGAUGGUGAAUCAAACCACUAAGUUCUAGAAAGGCAAGGGUAAGAAGAACUUAAAGAAGGACGGCAAGGGAGUUGCCACACCCGGUAAGCAAGCUGCCGGGAAGAAGCCAAAGAAUGGACCCAAGCCCGAAACUGAGUGUUUUUAUUGCAAGGGAAGUGGUCACUGGAAGCGGAACUACCCCAAAUACUUAGCGGACAAGAAGGCCGGCAACACUAAAGGUAUAUGUGAUAUACAAGUAAUUGAUGUGUACCUUACCAGUACUCGUAGCAGCUCCUAGGUAUUUGAUACCGGUGCGGUUGCUCACAUUUGUAACUCAAAGCAGGAGCUGCGGAAUAAGCGGAGACUGGCGAAGGACGAGGUGACGAUGCGCGUCAGGAAUGGUUCCAAGGUCGAUGUGAUCACCGUCGGCACGCUGCCUCUACAUUUACCUACGGGAUUAGUUUUAAACCUCAAUAAUUGUUAUUUAGUGCCAUCUUUGAGCAUGAACAUUGUAUCAGGAUCUCGUUUAAUUCGAGAUGGCUACUCAUUUAAAUCCGAGAAUAAUGGUUGUUCUAUUUAUAUGAGAGAUAUGUUUUAUGGUCAUGCUCCGAUGGUGAAUGGUUUAUUCUUAAUGAAUCUCGAGCGUAAUGCUACACAUAUUCAUAGUGUGAAUACCAAAAGAUGUAAGGUUGAUAAUGAUAGUCCCACAUACUUGUGGCACUGCCGCCUUGGUCACAUAGGUGUCAAACGCAUGAAGAAGCUCCAUGCAGAUGGACUUUUAGAGUCUCUUGAUUACGAAUCAUUUGACACGUGCGAACCAUGCCUCAUGGGUAAAAUGACCAAGACUCCGUUCUCAGGAACAAUGGAGCGAGCAACCAACUUAUUGGAAAUCAUACAUACUGAUGUGUGCAGUCCAAUGAGUGUUGAGGCUCGCGGUGGCUAUCGUUAUGUUCUCACCCUCACUGAUGACUUGAGUAGAUAUGGGUAUGUCUACUUAAUGAAACACAAGUCUGAGACCUUUGAAAAGUUCAAGGAAUUUCAGAGUGAGGUUGAGAAUCAACAUGAAAAGAAAAUCAAGUUCUUGUGAUCAGAUCGUGGGGGAGAAUACUUGAGUCACGAAUUUGGCACACACUUAAGAAAAUGUGGAAUAGUUUCACAGCUCACGCCGCCUGGAACACCUCAGCGUAAUGGUGUGUCCGAACAUCAUAAUCACACUCUAUUGGAUAUGGUGCGAUCUAUGAUGUCCCUUACCGAUUUACCGCUGUCAUUUUGGGGCUAUGCUUUAGAGACUGCCGCAUUCACUUUAAAUAGGGCUCCGUCGAAAUCCGUUGAGACGACACCGUAUGAAUUAUGGUUUGGGAAGAAACCUAAGCUGUCAUUUCUAAAAGUUUGGGGAUGCGAUGCUUAUGUCAAGAAACUUCAACCUGAAAAGCUCGAACCCAAGUCGGAAAAAUGCGUCUUCAUAGGAUACCCUAAAGAAACUGUUGGGUAUACCUUCUACCUCAGAUCCGAAGGCAAGAUCUUUGUUGACAAGAAUGGGUCCUUUCUAGAGAAAGAGUUUCUCUCGAAAGAAAUAAGUGGGAGGAAAGUAGAACUUGAUGAAGUAUUACCUCUUGAACCGGUAAGUGGCGCAGCUCAAGAAAAUGUUCCUGAGGUGCCUGCACCGACUAGAGAGGAAGUUAAUGAUGAUGAUCAUGAAACUUCAGAUCAAGUUGCUACUGAACUUCGUAGGUCCACAAGGACACGUUCCCCACCAGAGUGGUACGACAACCCUGUCUUGGAAAUCAUGUUGUUAGACAACGGUGAACCUUCGAACUAUGAAGAAGCGAUGGCAGGCCCCGAUUCCGACAAAUGGCUGGAAGCCAUGAAAUCCGAGAUAGGAUCCAUGUAUGAAAACGAAGUAUGGACUUUGACUGACUUGCCCGUGGAUUGGCGAGCCAUAGAAAAUAAAUGGAUCUUUAAGAAGAAGACAGACACGGAUGGUAAUGUGACCAUCCAUAAAGCUCGGCUUGUCGCUAAGGGUUAUCGACAAGUUCAAGGGGUUGACUACGAUGAGACUUUCUCACCCGUAGCGAAGCUGAAGUCCGUCCGAAUCAUGUUAGCAGUUGCCGCAUUCUAUGAUUAUGAGAUAUGGCAAAUGGACAUCAAAACGACUUUCCUUAAUGGUUUCCUUAAGGAAGAAUUAUAUAUGAUGCAGCCGGAAGGUUUUGUCGAUCCUAAGAAUGCUGAGAAGGUGUGCAAGCUCCAAUGCUCGAUUUAUGGGCUGGUGCAAGCAUCUCGGAGUUGGAACAUUCAUUUUGAUGAGAUGAUCAAAGCGUUUGGGUUUACGCAAACUUAUGGAGAAGCCUGCAUUUACAAGAAAGUGAGUGGGAGCUCUGUAGCAUUUCUCAUAUUGUAUGUGGAUGACAUACUGUUGAUGGGAAAUGAUAUAGAAUUCUUGGAAAGCAUAAAGGCCUACUUGAACAAGUGUUUUUCAAUGAAGGACCUUGGAGAAGCUGCUUAUAUAUUAGGCAUCAAGAUCUAUAGAGAUAGAUCGAGACGCCUCAUUGGUCUUUCACAGAGUACGUACCUUGAGAAGAUAUUGAAGAAGUUAAAAAUGGAUCAGUCAAAGAAGGGGUUCUUGCCUGUAUUGCAAGGUACGAGAUUGAGCACGGCUCAAUGCCCGACCAUGGCAGAAGAUAGAGAAAAGAUGAGUGUCGUCCCCUAUGCCUCGGCCAUAGGUUCUAUCAUGCAUGUUAUGCUGUGUACCAGACUUGAUGUAAACCUUGCCGUAAGUUUGGUAGGAAGGUACCAAAGUAAUCCCGGCAUGGAACACUAGACAAGGGUCAAGAAUAUCCUGAAGUACCUGAAAAGGACUAAGGAUAUGUUUCUCGUGUAUGGAGGUGACGAAGAGCUCAUCGUAAAGGGUUACGUCGAUACUAGCUUCGACACAGAUCUGGAUGACUCUAAGUCACAAACCGGAUACGUGUAUAUUUUGAAUGGUGGGGCAGUAAGCUGGUGUAGUUGCAAGCAAAGCGUUGUGGCGGGAUCUACAUGUGAAGCGGAGUACAUGGCAGCCUCGGAGGCAGCACAAGAAGCAGUCUGGGUGAAGGAGUUCAUUACCGACCUAGGAGUCGUACCCAAUGCGUCGGGCCCGAUGACUCUCUUCUGUGACAACACUGGAGCUAUUGCCCUUGCCAAGGAGCCCAGGUUUCAUAGGAAGACCAGGCAUAUCAAGCGUCGCUUCAACUCCAUUCAUGGAAGUGUUCAAAAUGGAGACAUAGAGAUUUGUAAAGUACAUACAGACCUGAAUGUGGCAGAUCCGUUGACUAAACCUCUCCCUAGAGCAAAACAUGAUCAACACCAGAACUGCAUGGGUGUUCGAUUCAUCACAAUGUAACUAGACUAUUGACUCUAGUGCAAGUGGGAGACUGUUGGAAAUAUGCCCUAGAGGCAAUAAUAAAAUGGUUAUUAUUAUAUUUUUUUGUUCAUGAUAAUUGUUUAUUGUUCAUGCUAUAAUUGUGUUAUCCAAAAAUCGUAAUACAUGUGUGAAUACAUAGACCAUAACACGUCCCUAGUGAGCCUCUAGUUGACUAGCUUGUUGAUCAAAGGAUAGUCAUGGUUUCCUGACUAUGGACAUUGGAUGUCAUCGAUAAUGGGAUCACAUCAUUAGGAGAAUGAUGUGAUGGACAAGACCCAAUCCUAAGCUUUGCUCAAAGAUCGUGUAGUUCGUUUGUUGUAGCUUUUCUGAAUGUCAAGUAUCAUUUCCUUAGACCAUGAGAUUGUGAAACUCUCGGAUACCGUAGGAGUUCCUUGGGUGCGCCAAACGUCACAACGUAACUGGGUGACUAUAAAGGUACAUUACAGGUAUCUCCGAAAGUGUCUGUUGGGUUGGCAUGAAUCGAGACUGGGAUUUGUCACUCUGUAUGACGGAGAGGUAUCUCUGGGCCCACUCAGUAAUGCAUCAUCAUAAUGAGCUCAAUGUGACCAAGUGGUUGAUCACGGGGUCAUGCAUUACGACACGAGUAAAGUGACUUGCCGGUAACGAGAUUGAACUAGGUAUUGGGAUACUGACGAUCGAGUCUCGGGCAAGUAACAUACCGAUUGACAAAGGGAAUUGUAUACAGAUUGAUUGAAUCCUCGACAUCAUGGUUCAUCCGAUGAGAUCAUCGUGGAGCAUGUGGGAGCCAACAUGGGUAUGCAGAUCCCGUUGUUGGUUAUUGACCGGAGAGGCGUCUCGGUCAUGUCUGCAUGUCUCCCGAACCCGUAGGGUCUACACACUUAAGGUUCGGUGACGCUAGGGUUGUAGAGAUAUUAGUAUGUAGUAACCCGAAAGUUGUUCGGGGUCCCGGAUGAGAUCCCGGAUGUCACGAGGAGUUCCGGAAUGGUCCGGAGGUAAAGAUUUAUAUAUGGGAAGUCCAGUUUUGGCCAUCGGGAAGGUUUCGGGGGUUAUCGGUAUUGUAUCGGGACCACCGGAAGGGUCCCGGGGGUCCACCAGGUGGGGCCACCUAUCCUGGAAGGCCCCAUGGGCUGAAUUAGGUGGGGAACCAGCCCCUAGUGGGCUGGUGCGCCCCCCUUGGGCCUGCCCUGCGCCUAGGGUUGGGAAACCCUAGGGAUGGGGGCGCCCCCCACUUGGCUUGGCGGGGAAGCCACCCUUGGCCGCCGCCCCCUUGGAGAUCCAUCUCCCUAGGGCCGGCGCCCCCAAGGCCCCUAUAUAAGGGGGGGGAGGGAGGGCAGCCGCACCCCUUGCUCUUGGCGCCUCCCUCUCCCUCUGUAACACCUCUCCUCCCUGCUUGCGCUUGGCGAAGCCCUGCCAGGAUUCUGCUGCAUCCACCACCACGCCGUCGUGUUGCUGGAUCUUCAUCAACCUCUCCUUCCCCCUUGCUGGAUCAAGAAGGAGGAGACGUCUUCCUAACCGUACGUGUGUUGAACGCGGAGGUGCCGUCCGUUCGGCACUAGGUCAUCGGUGAUUUGAAUCAUGUCGAGUACGACUCCAUCAACCCCGUUCUCUUGAACGCUUCCGCACGCGAUCUACAAGGGUAUGUAGAUGCACUCCUCUCUCCCUCGUUGCUAGAUGACUCCAUAGAUUGAUCUUGGUGAUGCGUAGAAAAUUUCAAAAUUCUGCUACGUUCCCCAACACAAGAAGGCGAAGACUUCCACACCAAUCCGAGUUUCCCCAUGAAAGGCAUGUUUUGGAAUAGCAGAGGUCUCUCGGACUUGGCUAAACAUAAACACGUCGGUGAUUGUGUAAGGGAACAUGGAUUGGAUUUUGUGGCAAUUUCCGAGUCUGGUAAGUGUGAUUUUCUUCAGCAUGUCCUCGAUCACCUAUCAGGUGGUUUCAACUAUGCAUGGCAUAGUCUACCAGCUCGUGGAAGGUCUGGAGGAAUUCUUCUUGGUAUUCUGACAAUAGUCAUGGACUUGUUGGCCUUUUCAAUCGGUGAAUUUCAUAUAAAAUAUCACCUAAGAAACAGAGCUGACAAUUUUACAUGGACUCUAGUCGCAGUCUACGGGGCUGCCCAAGAUGAGCAUAAACCGGCUUUCCUUCGGGAAUUGGUAAACCUGGCGAAGGAUAACCCGUACCCAAUGCUUAUUUGAGGGGACUUCAAUAUCCUUAGAUACCAGGAAGAGAAAAAUAUUGACCAUUUCAACACUCAUUGGCCCUUCCUAUUCAACGCUGUGAUAGACAGUUUGGAUCUUCGGGAGGCGAGUAUGUCGGGGCGUCAGUUCACAUGGGCUAAUAACCGAUCUGUGCCAACAUAUGGGAAGCUUGAUAGGGUACUCAUGGAUACCGAAUGGGAACUAAAAUUUCCUCUGGUAACCGUACGAGCCCUAGAGCGUAUCGAGGCGUUAUCGGAUCAUGCACCCAUCAUUCUAGAUUCUAAAUCUACGAACCUAGCUGCACGUCGUCCUUUCAAAUUUGAAUUGGGAUGGAUGCAUCGGGAGGGAUUUGUAGACAUAAUCAAGAAUGUUUGGGAGAGGCCUGUUGUUGGUCGUACACCUAUUCACAGAUGGAACUUUAAAAUGAGGGCCAUGAGGCAACAUCUCACUGGAUGGGCGAAACAUACAAACGGGAUAUAAAAAAAAGAAAAACAACGACUCUGUACCAUCAUUGAUGACCUCGACAAAAUUGCUGAGACGCGCACCUUAUCUCAAUAAGAGAUUGAAUUGAAAAAUCAAUCUAAUGAGAAGGUUGCACGUCUUUUGCGAGAAGAAGAGAUCAAAUACUACCAAAGAUCCAAAGCUGAUUUCAUUCUGAUGGGUGAUAGUAAUACAAGAUACUUCCAAUUGGUCGCCAAUGGGCGGCAUAGGAAGAAGUGUAUUUACAGUCUCCAACAAGAUGAGGGGCGGAUCGAAGGUCAGGAGGAGCUCAAAAAGUAUAUCACUAACUACUAUAAAUCUCUGUUCGGGGCGACCACCGAAGGGAACUUCACCCUUGAUGAGACCCGAACAGAUGAUAUCCCACAAGUCACGGCUGAAGAAAAUGAUAUCCUUACAUCAACAUUCUCUGAAGAGGAGGUGAGAGCUGCGGUGUUCCAAAUGGAACAUAACAAAGCUCCAGGUCCAGAUGGUUUUCCUGCUGAAUUCUACCAGAAUUUCUGGGAUAUAAUCAAGUCUGGCCUAAUGGAGUUGUUUAAUUGCCUUCAUGCCGACAACCUUGACCUAUUCAGACUUAAUUUUGGUGAGAUUGUCUUGUUGCCAAAGAUUAAGGAGGCUGAACGGAUCCAACAGUUCAGACCCAUAUGCCUUCUUAAUGUCGGCUUCAAAAUUUUCACCAAAGUGGCUACGAAUAGGUUAAAUUCGAUAGCUAACCAUGUUGUCCGACCAUCUCAAACGGCUUUCAUGCAAGGAAGAAAUAUACUUGAUGGCGUAGUAAUCCUGCAUGAGACCGUCCAUGAGAUGCACCAAAAAACAUGAGUGGAGUAGUAUUCAAGAUCGACUUUGAAAAAGCCUAUGACAAGGUCAAAUGGUCUUUCCUCCAACAGGCCCUAAGGAUGAAAGGUUUCUCCGAUAAAUGGCGCGAGUGGAUCCAUAAUUUUAUAACUGGAGGUAGUGUGGCCAUCAAAGUCAAUGAUGAUGUAGGCCAUUACUUUCAAACAAAAAAAGGAUUACGACAGGGUGAAUCCAUGCCUCCAAUGUUAUUUAACAUUGUCGCUGACAUAUUGGCUAUUCUGAUAGAGCGCGCCAAGCAGGACGGCCAGAUUGCAGGAGUAGUGCCACACCUUGUGGAUGGUGGUCUCUCUAUUCUGCAAUAUGCCGAUGACACGAUUCUCUUUAUGGAACAUGACCUGGACAAGGCUCGAAACCUUAAACUCUUGUUGUCAGCGUUUGAGCAAAUGUCGGGUCUUAAAAUAAACUUCCAUAAAAGUGAACUUUUCUGCUUUGGAGAAGCCACUGAGGCGGCGGCUGAAUAUGCUGACCUGUUUGAUUGUGCACAUGGCCAAUUCCCGAUUAAAUAUUUGGGAAUACCGAUUCAUUAUCGGCGUCUCACCAUUGCAGAGUGGAAGCAUGUAGAGGAGCGGUUAGAGAAACGAUUGAGCAGUUGGAAAGGCAAAUUGCUCUCAGUUGGAGGACGACUGGUUUUGAUUAACUCUGUCCUCACAAAUAUGGUUCUCUAUAUGCUUUCUUUCUUCCAACUCCCAAAAGGGGUCCUGCAAAGACUAGACUAUUUUAGAUCCAGAUUUUUUUGGCAAGGAGAUGGUGAAAAGAAAAACUAUAGACUGACCAAAUGGAGUGUGGUUUAUAGGCCGAAAGACCAAGGUGGCCUUGGAAUUCAUGACUUGCAAAUCAAGAAUGAGGCCCUACUUAGUAAAUGGUUGUUCAAACUUCUUACUGAGGAUGGUGUUUGGCAAACCAUGCUGCGCAACAAGUAUUUAGGCCAAAAGGCAGUGUCUCAGGCAUAUUGGACACCUGGCGACUCGCACUUUUGGGCUGGCCUAAUGGCGGCAAAGAAACAUCUCUUUCGCUUUGGGUCUUCCGCGAUAAGGGACAGGUCGGAGGUUCGUUUCUGGAAAGACAUCUGGCUAGGCAAUGCCAGUCUUCGAGAACAAUAUCCAGCCCUGUACAACAUUGCUCGCGAAAAGAAUAAUACUAUUGCGCAAGUGCUCAGUUCAUCCCCACCAAAUAUUUCGUUUAGGCGGGAUUUGAUUGGCCCCCGACUUAUGUCAUGGCACAAUCUUUUAUCCCGUUUGGAUUCGAUUAAUAUUAGACAAGGCCGAGAUGUGUUUCACUGGAACCUUACUACAUUAGGGUCAUUCACAGUAGACUCUAUGUAUCGUGCACUCAUGCAUUCUGAGGUACCGGUGAGUAACAAUAAGAAAAUCUAGAAGUCGAAGAUUCCACUAAAAGUUAAAAUCUUCAUGUGGUAUCUUCGUAGGGGAGUUGUUCUAACCAAAGACAACCUCGCACGACGCAACUGGCCAGGGAGUAAGAAGUGUUGUUUUUGUACUCAUGAAGAGACAACCGAACACCUCUUUUUCCAAUACAAGUUUGCACGUACUACACGGGCAAUCAUCCAAAUGGCGUCAAAUUUGUAUCCGCCCACAAGUGUCGCCAAUAUUUUUGGUCACUGGUUGGACGGUAUUCCAAAUAGAAUCAAAACGCUAAUACGGGUGGGAGCAUACGCCUUACUAUGGUCGCUUUGGUUAUGUAGAAAUGAUUUGGUUUUCAAUGAUAAAAAUGCUUCUCCUUUGCAGGUUAUUUUCCGUUAUACGCACUCGCUUCGUACGUGGUCUACGCUACAACGACUGGAGUACCAACCGCUGUUCAAGACGGUAUGUACGCGGUUGGAGCAGGUGGCUACGGUGGUUUUUACCCAACAUGGGUGGCAGCAUAAUCUCCGGAUCGGUCCACCAUCCCUUGCGACAUAGGCAUAGUGUCGGUCUAUAGGACUCUACUGUCGCCGAUUUUUUUUUCUAUUCAUUUUGUCAGACUUUCCGUGUUGGGCUGUGUGCAUCCUAAUUAUGCAGAGCCCGCGUGUUACUCAUAAUAUUUUGUAUCCGCUUGAUGCUACAUUUCGAGAUAAUAAAAGCGCCCUUUAUCGAAAAAAAGAAACAAAGCAGACAUUUAAAUGCCUGAGCAAAGCAGGAGAUACAAGAAAACCAAUCAAAAUCCAAAGACAAGGGGCUUUAAUGCUACAAUCACUACUUUGUUGUCUUGUAUCAGGCAUGCUGCUGCUUUGAUGCUCCAAUCACUAUUUUGUUCUCUUGUUGUCACUAUUACUGUCAGAUUUUUCUAGGCUGCUCCCAACUAAUGUACCCAGGAUGCCCCAUCUGACAGUAAUUGGGAGCAGCCUAGAAAAUUAUUGUGGGGUUAAUCAGUUGUAACUUCAAGUUUAGAAUCAACACUGCUAAGUUUUUCGCUCCUGUAUUGCAGGAGAUGCUGAAUAAAUGGCAUUCAAGUAUCCAUGAUCUCGGGACAAAGCAAAUCUAGUCAGUUGCUGGAUUUAUGUAUCGCUCAUUAUCAUUGAAGAAUUAACGAGUCAGCACAAGCUAUCUAAAGCACGUCAGACCAAAAAACAUGCCAUGAUUAGGAGGAUCUAUUUCGGGGAAAUAGUACACCGAGUGAUAUGAAAUGUAUCAUCUGCACGGAAUGGAAAUAUGUGUAAUGCAAAGUUUUAAACUGAAAACCUACCCCGCUACAUUUAAGUGAUAUUUCUGGAUUAAACGUUUCACUGACCAAGGAUAUCAUUUUUAUUUAUCUCAAACUGAAAGGGACAAAGUAAUGCAAUAUAACAAGAGAUAUGCAUCUUCAGAAUCAGCCCUCACAGAUAUUAACCACUGAGAACAAAACUUACAACUCAGAUUUAAUUCAUUGAAGUAAAUGAAAAUUCAGGAUAACCUUAGCUAGCAGAAUCAUAGUAUAUAUAUGGCUACCAAAUUACUGUACUUAACUCACAAAGGUCUCUAUAAAGACGUUCUUUGUACUCAGAAAGUAGUUCAGAUUAAUGAAGCAACAACAAGAUAAAACAAAUUAAAUACACACAAAAUAUAAAAGAAGACAAGAAGAAGAAUGGGAAUACCUCUCGUAGUCGUUAAUACGACUCGUUGUCAAGAAAAUGAUUGUGUGAGAUUAAUUUUUAAUCGGUAGAAUUACAACUAAUCCCUCCCAGCCAUGAGCGGCUCAUGUCCCGUCCCCUGUGCACUGCAACGCAUCAAAAUUGGCUCGUGAGAUCGAUUACUGUGACUUACCCAAUUAAUUUCCCCCACGCUGGGGAAAAUCGAUCAGCUUGCAUGUGUGGUUGCGAACGUGCACAGCUCGCCGUGUAAUACCAUACAUGCUUGCUCGGAAAGAAAUCGAGGUUGUUCUGCAUCUUGCCGUAAAGGACUUGGCAAAAGUUGCAUCUCCGCAUCCAGAUAUUGCUCCGGUUGGAAACACACACCAAUAUAUAGAUGCCACCACAGAAAUACACGCACGCACAAUUGGAUUGCUAUAAGAGGCUAACCUUUGUUACUUUCUUGGCUUUAUUUCUUGUAGGGUGUAGAUUAAAAGGACCACGUACAUUAGAUUGCCAAAGGGUCGAGUCUCGGCUGAAACAGACAAGCAAUACAUGCACGUACAUGUCUAGCAGGAGCACGGUCGGUUCAGGCACACACCGGUCGCCGCCCUUUGCUAAGGGGUCACUAGUAGAAAAGGGGCUUUUAGUCCCGAUUCUGGAACCGAGAAAGGCCCUUCACGUGGCCGCUGUCUGGAGGUCCACCUUUAGUCCCCGGUACUAAAGGAAAUUUUAUGAUUUUUUAUGAUUUUUUUGAAUUUUUUUAUUUUUAAAUUUCUGAAUUUUUUUAACCUCUAAUCUCUAAUCACCCCUCAUCACUGCUCAAUUUAACCUCCAAUCUCUAAUCACCCCUCAUCAUUUCAAAUCAUCUAACUCCCAUCCUCUCACUACUCCAGCCUGAGCACGCUUAACUUCCGGGUUUUAUUCUCCCUCGUUUCCAAGUCUGCACUUGUUGUUUUCCUAAUAAUAGUAAGAUGUCAAUCGUAUUAACCCUCAGGAAUUUAGCUUGAGCAUGAAGUCACACACUUCACUGUUUGAGUUUGAAACUAUUGUUCUAAAAAACAAUAAUUAUUUAGUAACACUAGUAUUUCUUGAAUAAGUAGUUUGAUCAUAGUUUGACCACAGUUUGACCAUAGUUUGACCAAGUUUGACCAGAUUUGACCAAAAUACAAAAAAACUGAAAUAAUUAUUUAGUAACACUAAUAUUUCUUGAGUAAGUUGUUUGACCAUUGUUUGACCACAGUUUGACCAGAUUUCACCAAAAUUCAGAAAAACUGAAAUAAUUAUUUAGUAACACUAAUAUUCUUGAAUAAUUAUUUAGUAACACUAAUACUUCUUGAAUAAGUAGUUUGACCAGAUUUAACAAAAAAAAAA